rnacentral:rRNA from 1 species
AUGGCAUCCAUGAAGUACGAUCUUUCGCUGCUGGACCGUGACACAAGGUUUACUCUAUGGCAAGUCAAGAUGCGGGCGUUGUUGGCACAGGCCGACUAUGAUGUAGCACUGAAUAGUUUUGGGAAGAAGCGAAUUGAGGACUGGACUGCUGAGGAGAAAAGAAUUGAUUAAUUUGAAGAGAUCAUAUCCGAUCUAGCUGCAAUGGAGGUUAAGUAUGAAGAGGAAGAUACUGCUUUAAUGUUACUUUGUUCACUGCCAAGUUCUUAUACCAAUUUUAGAGACACCAUAUUAUACAGUCGUGAUACUCUCACACUUAAUGAAGUUUAUGAAGCUUUGAACUCUAAGGAGAAAAUGAAACUAAUGGUGCCGCAUGAUGGUUCAAGUUCAUCCCAAGCAGAGGGAUUAUCUGUUCGUGGCAGGACAAAGGAGAAGAACUCCAAUAAUGAAAACAGAGGCAAAAGUAAAAACGGCUACAGGGGCCGGUCACAAUCCAGAGACAAGAAAUAUUGCAGGUAUUGCAAGAGAGACGGGCAUGACAUCUCUGAGUGUUUCAAGUUGCAGAACAAGGAAAAGAGGAAAGGUAACAAACCAGGUGAAAAUUCUGCUAACGCUGCUCGUGAUGAUAGUUCCGAUGAUGCUCUUGUCGUUAUUGCUGGAUGUGCUGAGACCAAUGAUGAGUGGGUACUUGACACUGCAUGCACUUUUCAUAUGUGCCCGCAUAGAGAUUGGUUUACUACUUUUGAUUCCACUACUUCUGCUGGUUCCGUUUUGGGUUUUGAUAAUUCACCACGCAAGAUUGAAGGCAUAGGUUCUAUUCGAAUCAAGAUGUUUGAUGGCAUAAUCAGAACUUUGUCAGAUGUUCGGUAUAUUCCGAAGAUGAAGAGAAAUCUUAUUUCUAUGAGUGCCCUUGAUGCAAAGGGAUACAAGUAUUUAGGUGGAGAUAGUGUUUUGAAAGUCACCAAAGGUUCCCUUAUUGUGAUGGAAGGUGAUUUGAGUUCGACCAAUGGUCUUUAUUACCUUCGAGGUUCUACCGUUUCAGGUAACGCUACUCCAGUUGUUUCAAAGAAUUCUAAUUGUGAUGCUGCUAACCUUUGGCAUAUGCGUCUUGGACAUAUGAGGGAACUUGGUUUAGCAGAGUUAAAUAAGAGAGGUCUUCUUGAUGGAUAUGAACUUGGUAAAUUGAAAUUUUGUGAGCAUUGUAUCUUCGGCAAGCACAAGAGGGUGAAGUUUAACACUUCGACUAAUACAACCAAAGGUAUUCUUGAUUAUGUGCAUUCUGAUUUAUGGGGACCGUCUCGCAAGAAGUCACUAGGUGGUGCUAGUUACAUGCUGACUAUUAUUGAUGAUUAUUUGAGAAAAGUUUGGCCUUAUUUCUUGAAGCAUAAAUAUGAAGCAUUCUCAGCAUUUAAGGAGUGGAAGAUUAUGAUUGAAAGGCAGACUGAAAAGAAGGAAACUCCAAUUGAGGUAUGGUCUGGUUCACUUGCUGAUUAUUCACAGUUGAGAGUUUUUGGUUGCAUUGCUUAUGCUCAUAUUGAUAAUGGAAAGUUGGAGUCUAGGGCUGUUAAGUGCAUCUUUCUUGGUUAUAAGUCUGGUGUUAAAGGUUUUAAAUUAUGGAAUCCUGAAACCCAGAAGGUUGUCAUUAGCAGAAAUGUUAUUUUUAAUGAAUCUGCUAUGUUACAUGAUGUUUCAUCUACUAAUGUUCCCGUUGAGAGUGAACAGCAGCCUAUUGUUCAGGAGCCUACUGUUCAGGUGGAGCAUGUUAUUGAUUCAGGUGAUACAUCUGGUAAUGAAAUUGUUGAUGCACAUGAUGAACCCGUCGUUAAUGAUGAUAAUGUCACUCCCACUCCAAAUCAGCCUAUUGUUCCACCCAGUUGA